rnacentral:rRNA from 1 species
AGUGAACGCUGGCGGUAGGCCUAACACAUGCAAGUCGAACGGCAGCACAGUAAGAGCUUGCUCUUACGGGUGGCGAGUGGCGGACGGGUGAGGAAUACAUCGGAAUCUACUUUUUCGUGGGGGAUAACGUAGGGAAACUUACGCUAAUACCGCAUACGACCUACGGGUGAAAGCAGGGGAUCUUCGGACCUUGCGCGAUUGAAUGAGCCGAUGUCGGAUUAGCUAGUUGGCGGGGUAAAGGCCCACCAAGGCGACGAUCCGUAGCUGGUCUGAGAGGAUGAUCAGCCACACUGGAACUGAGACACGGUACAGACUCCUACGGAAGGCAGCAGUGAGGAAUAUUGGACCAUGGGCGCAAGCCUGAUCCAGCCAUACCGCGUGGGUGAAGAAGGCCUUCGGGUUGUAAAGCCCUUUUGUUGGGAAAGAAAAGCAGCAGGUUAAUACCCAGCUGUUCUGACGGUACCCAAAGAAUAAGCACCGGCUAACUUCGUG